GAGUCUUCUGGAGAUUAAUGACUAAUCAUCCACCAAACUGUAAUCAAUAUUUUUAGUUAUUCUGGCAUUUAGUGAUGGGAUCUAUUAACCUAACCAAUGCCUGUUAAAAAACUCCCAUGGAUGACUGAUAAAUCCACAGAGAUACGACUAAUGAUUUCUUAUGUGAGAUAAAAGUUGGUAAGAUAUCUAUUCUUUAAUUUAUUUAUUUGUAUAUCAUAUUCAACUACAUUAUUAGGCCUAAUUACAGUAGUUAUUCUGAAAAAUGCUGCAUGUUUAGAGACAGAUGAAAAAAAGACAAGAAGAAGGGUGAUAAAAAUCAUGUCAGUACCAGAUACCGAUGAUAUUGGUCGACGGCGAUAUCUCCAUUGCUUCCAUCAAUUAUGUUUCCUACAACAAGAACCUGAAAGGUUUAAAUCCUGCUCAAAGUGGUAAGCUCCUUCAAACUACAAAGUGCAAGACAAAGGAAAUCGUUAAGCUUAUGUAAGAGAAACAGGAAGUUGGUAGAAGAGAAAAACCUGAUAAGAAGAGGAGGCAGUCCCAAAGAGAAAGUUGGCAGGAAAUGAAGAAGAAUCUGAACUUUCAUGCAGAGUUUUUGUAUCAGAUGAUGCAAAGAGAGGUAGCAGGAUCAGCUCUAAGAGAAUUAAAGCUUUACAAAGUGAAGAAAUUCCCAUGCUAGAUAUAAUGCAAUUCAUAUAUAUGCUGUAUCCAAAGUUAAAAAGCUAGAUGUCUUUGUAUACAAGUUUGUGCUUCUAUAUAUAUGUGCAGGGUUGUCUAGUUUCAUGUAGAAAAAACUCUAAUAUAGAAGGAAUCAGAGAAGUUGUUGAAACUUCUGUUCUUGGUAUGGGAAAAAGUCAGAAAUUAGACAAGAUGAAGAAAGAAUCUUUUUCCAGAAUCGCUCAAAAAUCCUAGAGCAACAGGUAGUGAACAGUUUAUAAUUGAAUUUUUUUAAGUAAUUUACUUUUAUUUGAUCCCUGUAUUUGUAAUGCAAUGAUUAGUUAAUCCCUUUGGUUUAAACACUUGCAGUUAAGUCCCUAUUUCUUCAUAUUUGAUUGUAACUUUGUCC